AUAACCACAUAUUUGUGAAGAUGGCGGCCUCUGUUCAGGUAAGACGACGACAAUGGAGAUGAAGUCUAGGGUUUGCAGCGGCGCUACAGGCGGUAACAGUAACCAAAAUUGAAAGUAGAAGAUGGUGUACGGACGGAACCAAACACAACCUUCAUCUUCCUCCUCAGCUUCCUCACUAGAUGAUGCUUGAUGAGCUUGCCGAAGGUUCAACACGCCCAGAUCUGGUAUGCUUUCUCUUUUUUAACUGAUUGUACUUUCUUCAAUUUGAUGAGCUUGCGACAGGGUUCUUAGGUUUUUUCAUUCACAUGUGUCUUCCUCUGGAGUUCGACCUCUGGUGGAGUUCGACAUCUUCCAUUCUUCCUUUGUUCCAUAAAUUUCUUCUUCUCCAAUCUCCACUCAUUCAAUCUCUGGUCCAUUCCUUCAUUCUUCUCCGGUCUCCAUUCUUUUAACCUUUGGCUCACGUCUUCCUCUUUUAAUCCUCUGGUUAGUAAAUACAUAUACAGGUUGAUCACAUUUUGUUUAAUUUUUUGCUAAUGAUGAAAUUAGUCAGGAAAGUUAUUUUUGAUGUUUUUUUAAGAUAUAUAAUUUUUUAAACCUGGGCCGUUAUGUAUGGCUUUCUGAUGAUGUUUUCAGGGAGGUUUGAGAAAAAAGAUGGUGCUUUGGGAGCCUAAUGAUCAACCGCCUUGCACAACACCUGAGAAAAAAAGUGAUCAACUAUGUGGAGGAUGCUAACAAAAAACAAAGUCACCCGAAGAGUUUAAAGAGACAAUCGGAACCCCAAUAGCCAUCAAGAUUCAAUCUUUAUCGUACAUAUCUGGUACAUACAUCAUCCUUUAGUAUUUUGGAUGUUUUCUGAAUUUCUCUCUCUUUUAUUUAAAUGAUGACAGGUUGACUUCGACAUUUUUGGCUAUGGAUAUAUGUUCAAACAAUCAAGUGUUUUCCCAACCGCUCAGUGGUUAGCAAGAUGUAUAUUUGUUCCUGUUUUUAAACUCAUAAGUAAGUAUGAUGUAGAGGUUAUAUUUAUGUCUAUUUUUGUAGAGACACAACUCAUAGGUUCAAAGUAUAUAACAAAGCUUUAAGGCUUUUAAGUUUCAUUAAGUGAGUAUGCAAAAAUGAUAUAUUUUAAGUUUUAGGCAUCCCUCACGGAAGAUUUAUCUAGACCUAAAAAGGAUCAAAGAAAUUAGCUAAGGAGGAAAUUGGUCAAAUGGGUUGAACGGGUCAAAUGCGUUAAAAGUCAUGCAAAGUUUAUCGGUAAUAGUAUGAUUAGAACAUCCUAAAUCACUUCAUUUAAAUAUAUAGAUUGUGUUUAUAGUAAUAUAAAUGUAUGAUUUCUAAAUAGGUGAAAGCAUGUUGCAAUUUCUAUUGUAUGAUUUGUGUUCAGUAAUAAGAACAACAUUAGGUGACGCUUUGCUAAUGGUCACUAUUGCUAAUUUGUUAAUUAGUGCUUUCAGAGGCUAUACCCUUAAUCAAGAUUCUGGAGUUCCAGCUAAAAGAAGAGCUCAUGCAUGUGUUUUAUGUAGGUACGCAUCUGCGUCUUUUUUCCUUUAUAUAUUGUGUGCAAAAACUGACAUUGCAUGCUAUUUAUGGUUCGUUUUGUUGCCACACAAAUGUUUAUGUAUUUAUAUAUUUUAUUUGCUAGGGCACAUGAUAUUAGUAAAGUCUGGUUCUAGCUCGACCCCUAAAAUUAGGGGUGGCAAUUCACGUUAGCUUCCGGUUGUUCAGAUUAGCAGGCUCUCAUAGUCCAACACAAACUUGACUCAAAUACUAAAUCGUGUCCAACACGAACCCGAACAACCCAUAUCAUUCACAACCUUUUUCUGAUCUUAAAAGCUUUCCUCAAAGAGAAUAAAAAUUGCUACACUUUAAGACCCAAUGGUGGAAAAUCGAGUUUAAAUCUAAUUCGAGCCCCUUUUAUGUAUGUAAAUUAUGAUGAAGAAGAUAAGUUACCCAAAUUUGAUCUUUUUCUUGGUGAAAUAAUUAGCAAAUGCUUGAAAAAUGCUUUUAGUGUUUGUCUUGUGAAUGUAGGAAUCGGUAUUCCUUUCAUAUCCCGGUUAGAGUUAAGGCCACUUGAUGGGUCGGUUUACGAAACUGAUCCUGAGAGUUUUAAGGCAUUAGUGUUGAUUCAAAGAUCGGAUAACGGAUAUACUACCGGGUCGGUAAUCAAGUGAUGUUUAUGAUCGAAUUUGGUUUCCUUAAAAUUCUCUAUCAUGGGAUUCUUUACAUACAUCUUUAGAUAUAGAUAUAAGCGGAGGUGGCUAUCGAAAUAACUAGAAAUUAGGGUGAGUCUGCUAUUGCAGACACAAACAAAAAAAACUGACACUUUCUAAUGAUUUUGACACUGAUGAUAAAAACCAGGUCUUUAUUUACCUUUAAUCUUUUAAAAUAUUUCAUGUCUUUUUCUUACCAAAGGAGAAUUAAUUGAUGAACAUAUUUUGGACAUUUUUUAUCGUUUAAUUUCAAAAGAAGGGUCAUUGCGAAAGAUUGAGGACCAGAAGAUACUUUGAAGGCUGGCUCAGAACUGAGAAUAUGCUACGAAAAGCUAAUUAACGAAGAAAGUUUUAUUCUUGCUUUCAUACAACACUUUGUUUAAUGUUUUGCAUCAUUUUGUUUAAUGGUUUGCUUAAACAAUUGCGAUAAUGAUGUAGACAUAUGUACGACAGCUGGAAAAUAGUCGACUCAAGCUUACACAGCUUGAGUAGGAGCUUAAACGAGCAAGCUAGAGCAUGAGACCUUAGAACUUGUGUGUGUAGAGGAUCUUGAUUGAGGUCACAUGUUUGCGAGGUUGAAAUUAAGAGAUUGGCUAGAAAUGAUUCAUUGUUCUGUUUAUUUCUUUUUUAGUUUUGGAAUUUUGAUGUUCCUUUCUAUAACUGUUGAUAUAGCCUAGACUAAGAUAUAAGAUGUAUGAAUGAUUUAUUAUCUAACCAAA